rnacentral:rRNA from 1 species
UUGAAAUGUAAAAUUUAUUAGUUUUAAAAUUUUAUUUAAUUUUUAAUAAAAGUAAUUUUAUAGUUAAUUUUUUAGUAUAGUUUAUAGAAAAAAUUAUUUUAAUGAUAGUAUAUUAGUAUUGUGAAAGAAAAUUGAAAUAUUUUGAAAAAGAUUUUGUUGGAAAGAAGUAUUUAUUUUAUGUACCUUUUGUAUCAGGGUUUAUUAAUUAAAUUUUAUUUAUAAAUAAAUUUCUCGAAUUUAAAAGAUUUAAUAAAUUAUUAAAGUUAAUGUUGAAUAAUUAUUUUAAAUAGUUUAUUAGAAAUGAAACGUUAAUCGUUUUUAAAUAUAUCUAGUUUUUUAAGAAAUAAAUUUAAUUUACAUAUUUAAAAUAUAAUUUUUUAUUUAGUUAAAAAUUUUAUUUUUAUAUAUGAAUAUAUUAAGGGAUAAGCUUUAAUUUAAUUUCUAUAAUAAGAUUAAUUGGUGUUAUAAAUAUAAGGUUAGAAAUAUCUAUUAUUAAUAAGUUUGUUUUAAUUUAUAUAUGUAGUUUAUAAUUUACUAUUAUUUAGAUUUUUUAUUAAAAUAAUUGUUUUAAUUAAAAUUAUAAUGAAAUAAUGAUAAAAUUAGUAUAAAGAUUUGUUAGUAAUUAAUUUAAAAAAAGAUUAAAUUAAGGAAUUCAGCAAAUUAAUACUCACCUGUUUAACAAAAACAUGUCUUUUUGAUUAUAAUUUAAAGUCUAACCUGCCCACUGAAAUUUUUGAAGGGCCGCGGUAUUUUGACUGUGCAAAGGUAGCAUAAUCAUUAGUCUUUUAAUUGGAGGCUUGUAUGAAUGGUUGGAUGAGGUAUUAACUGUCUCAAUUUAAUAAAUAAAAGAAUUUUAUUUUUAAGUUAAAAAGCUUAAAUGAAAUUAAAAGACGAGAAGACCCUAUAGAUCUUUAUAAUUAAUUUUAUAAUAAUUUUUUAGAUAAAAUUUAUUUUUAUAAAAUAAAUUAUUGUAUUGGGGUGAUAAAAAAAUUUAUAAAACUUUUUUUGUAAAAAAACAAUUAUAUUUGAUUAAUUGAUCCAUUUUUUGUGAUUAUAAGAUUAAGUUACCUUAGGGAUAACAGCGUAAUUUUUUUGGAGAGUUCUUAUCGAUAAAAAAGAUUGCGACCUCGAUGUUGAAUUAAAGGUUAAUUUUAGGUGUAGAAGUUUAAAAUUUUGGUCUGUUCGACCAUUAAAUCUUUACAUGAUUUGAGUUCAAACCGGCGUGAGCCAGGUUGGUUUCUAUCUUUAAUUAAAUAAAAUAUUUUAGUACGAAAGGACCAAAUAUUUAAAAUAAUUUUUAAAAUUGAAUAAUAUUAAU